rnacentral:rRNA from 1 species
AUGACCGUGACGCUCCAGGAUAUAGCUAUGAUCACCGGUCUUCCUAUCGAUGGAAAUCCUCUAUGUAUGAGCACCGAUUUUGAUGGGUGGCGCGAGCAAAUUCUUGCCCUUAUCGGUAUGGUUCCUCCGGACCCGCGGGAACCAGAAGUAGAAGGCAAGAAGAAGGAAAGAGUCGCAGGCGAUGCUACUUUCACGUGGAUUGUAUCAAACUUCAGUAAUUGCCCUGAGGAUGCUGAUGAGGACACGGUGAAGACAUAUGCUCGUGUCUACAUAUGGUACGUGAUAUCCAGGAGUAUGUUUGCUGAUGGCACAGGAAAGAAUGCUCCAUGGAUGUGGCUCAAGGCGUUGACCGUCUUCGAUAGCAAAUGGAGUUGGGGUUCGGCGACACUGGCUUACUUGUAUAGACAAGUAUGA